rnacentral:rRNA from 1 species
GAUGAACGCUGGCGGCGUGCCUAAUACAUGCAAGUCGAGCGAACGGACGAGAAGCUUGCUUCUCUGAUGUUAGCGGCGGACGGGUGAGUAACACGUGGAUAACCUACCUAUAAGACUGGGAUAACUUCGGGAAACCGUAGCUAAUACCGGAUAAUAUUUUGAACCGCAUGGUUCAAAAGUGAAAGACGGUCUUGCUGUCACUUAUAGAUGGAUCCGCGCUGCAUUAGCUAGUUGGUAAGGUAACGGCUUACCAAGGCAACGAUGCAUAGCCGGCCUGAGAGGGUGAUCGGCCACACUGGAACUGAGACACGGUCCAGACUCCUACGGGAGGCAGCAGUAGGGAAUCUUCCGCAAUGAGCGAAAGCCUGACGGAGCAACGCCGCGUGAGUGAUGAAGGUCUUCGGAUCGUAAAACUCUGUUAUUAGGGAAGAACAUAUGUGUAAGUAACUGUGCACAUCUUGACGGUACCUAAUCAGAAAGCCACGGCUAACUACGUG